GUGGGGAAUAUUGCGCAAUGGGGGAAACCCUGACGCAGCGACGCCGUGUGAGGGAAGAAGGCUUUCGGGUCGUAAACCUCUGUCAGAAAGGAAGAACCUCCCAUAUCCGAAUAGGGUGUGGGACUGACGGUACUUUCAAAGGAAGCACCGGCUAACUCCGUGCCAGCAGCCGCGGUAAUACGGAGGGUGCUAGCGUUAAUCGGAAUCACUGGGCGUAAAGCGCGCGUAGGCCGCUUCUUAAGUCGGACGUGAAAGCCCUCGGCUCAACCGGGGAACUGAGUUCGAUACUGGGAGGCUUGAGUCCUGGAGAGGGUGGCGGAAUUCCGGGUGUAGGAGUGAAAUCCGUAGAUAUCCGGAGGAACACCGGUGGCGAAGGCGGCCACCUGGACAGGUACUGACGCUGAGGCGCGAAAGCGUGGGGAGCAAACAGGAUUAGAAACCCUUGUAGUCC
rnacentral:rRNA from 1 species